CAUUAAUUCAUUACAGCAAUGUGUCCUGAUUCUAUUUUCUGAGCCAGGCACUGUGUGUGGACCCCCGACGGGAGGAAAGGGAAGCCGCGUGCCUUGCCGAGGAAACGUCACCAGCAGUGGAGAUGCGGACCACGCCCUCAUGCUGAACAUUGCACUGGAGACGGCUGGAGGUGAGACCACGCUCCCCGCCACCCCACCCCCGGGAGGAGAGCAGAUGCCUGGCCCAGGAUCAAAGAGAAAGGUCUGCAAUGUGAAUUCAUUUUUUCUGAGUUGUAAGUUUGGAUCAUUUGUAAAUGUGUAUCCCGCUCAGGAUGGAGCUAACCUGAACUCUGUAAUUUGCAGGGGAGGCUCGCUGCCCCUUGGAUGGGCAGUGAGCUCUGGGUUCCAGAGGCCAGGCUGCGGCUGCCCCCUGGGAUGGCACCCCUGCUCAGAGCAGGGUGGACGUGGGCCUCCUAGGCUGACCUCCCAGCGGACCAGGAAUCUGCCUGGAGAUCAUCAGGAUCGACACCUGCCUUAGAACGCACCUUAGUACCCUGUCAUCUGAACACACCCGGGCUGCUUUAACCCCCUCACUGCUGUCACGGGAGCCCCAGGUCCUUCCCCCUCGGGGACGGGACAAGGCGUGCGGGGCAGGUUGCCCUGGGCUCCUGGGUUGCCUGGGUCUGCUUUCCUCUCACUGAGAAGGCCUCUCACUCUGCUCCCGAGGACUGAGGCUGUCUGCCCUGCGCCGGGUGAGUGCACUGACUGCGUCACGCCACAAGCACACGUCUGGGGAGGGGGGGGCUUCCUCCAGGGCUCCCACUGACUCUGCCCUGCCCUCCAGGGGCCAACACCAGGUUGCCCCAGAAUCUAUGAGUAGGGGGUGGCAGCAUCCCAGGGUUGAAUGUACUGGUGAUGGGUCUGGGGUCCAUAAUUAUGGCUUGGAAACCGUUGAUUGCGUCUUUUGUGGCCUUGUCCUUGCCAGAGGGAAAUGGGCCCAGUCCCAGAACAGAAGGAGUUGGCUUGUUCAAAUCAGUGUCCAAAUUCUUUUCCUGCACUUUCAUGGGUGCACUGGGAUGAUGGCAGAUGAGAGGACUCUGAGAGGUUGGUGACUUGUCCAAGAUCAGCUAGGAAGCAAGACCCAGGACUGCAAUCCAGGGCUGCUGUGAGGAUCAAACAAGAUAAUGUAUGCUAAGGCGUGCUGCGAACACUACGUGCUGGGUGCAGGAGAACGGAGGCCCUAGAGUGGGUCUCAUGACACUGUGUUGAUGAAGACCUUGGCCGUGACCUCUGUGGGAAAUGAGCCAUGGACCAACCAACAUUCAGUCUGAUUUCUUCGUUUUCCCCUGAGGAAGACCUUGGCUGUCCCUUCUGUGGGUAAGGAGCAAAGUGACUCAUGUUAAUUAUUCAAAAGAAGGCUGAGCGAAGGCCAGUGAGGAAUAUGUGUCAUGAACCAAAGAUAAUGAUUGCUCCUUCUAUACCCAAAUGUUGUCCAGAUAAAAAAAAUAGAACUCGCAGCUCCUUCCACUUUGGGUAAAGUACACAUAGAAAUUUCUUCUUUAAGUUUUAAUUUAUGUUCCGAUUGGUUAAUGUAUAGUGUGUUAUUACUAGGUUCAGGUGUACAUGGAAAUUUGCAUGGGGAAAGUCUUUAGAAAAAUGGGUACAUAAUUGAUUUAUUUUAUGCCUAAUUAUAUACAUGAAUAAAUAAAUGAAUCUGUAGACAUCAAUCAGAAAAAUUUGUGCUUCAUUGGUGGGAAUAUGCAAUAAAAUAAAGAUUUACAUUUACCCAGUUUUGUACAACUGAGGUCCAUUAAAAGCAACCACUGAGUUGUUAAAUUGAUGAAUAGGGAGUAUGGAGAUGGAUAUUUAUGGUAGAUAAUGGUUCAUAUUCUCAUGCUGGUGUUAAUUGUGUUGUUGAAAAAGAAAAAUUAAGUAAGUCAAUAAAUAAGAGUGAUUCAUGGACAAUGAUAACAUUCUAAAAUGACCCACAUUCAUGAUUGACCUGAUAUUGUAACACUGAUCUUUGCUUAAAAAAAAAAAAAAUCUAACUGUAGGCUUUUUCUCUUUUUGGGAGUCUGCAUUUUCACCAAGUGAGCACACCACAGAUGAUUUAAUCAUUCUCGAAUGCUAAAGAUCUUGGCUUUCACAAACCGUGUGGGUAAGGAAAGAAGAAAUUGAUAAUAACCGUAAGACAGCAGACUUACACAUUUUCUAAGAAACAACAUCUUGGCAGUUAGCUCUGUGUGUAAAGACUGUAGACAGAAAUAAUGAACACAAAGCCGAUUUUAUCAUUCUCUAAUCCGGAAGACCUGGCUGAUAAUUCUGGGACUAAGAAGCGUAAAAACUUAUACAUAGUGAACAACAGCAUGGCUGACUCAGUCAUUCGCCGGAGUCAUUACAGUCGACCAGGAGGUGAAGCCUGAGAGAACCGUCGUCCAAUGAGGAAGAUCUUGACUGUUACUUUUGUGGAAUGAAGAUGAUGGUUGAUUUAAUCAGUCUCUGCUGAUGAAGAUCUUGGCUGUUACCUUUGUGGAAUGGAUGGAUGAUGAAUCAAUGACGGAGUGUAGAAACUUAUAAUGGAUGCUUCCGGCCAGCCUAAGCAUCUCCAUGGUCUUGAGCUGUCUGGUUGCCUAGGAGCAUAGGCAUCAGUAAUGGAUGCACUCGAGCUGAUUCCCUGUGGUUGGCUUUAUUGUUAGGAUCACAGACACAGAUAGUGGCCACACCAAGCUGAUGAAAGCAUGUUCCAUGAUUAGAGCUCUAUAUGUAGGAGAUGGAGAUCGGUAAUGGAUGCACUACAGCUGAUUUCAGGGUUCUUCCAUGGUCACAAGACAUCUGCUUACUCCAUGUGUUUGGUGCAUAGAAGGAAUGCACACACCCAAGAUGGUUUAAGUAGUAUCCCUUGGCCAGUGAUCUCUACAUUUGCCUGUAGGAACAUGGAAACCAAUCGCGCUCAAGCGUCGUCCGAGGUCACGCGCUCCGUUGUUGCCUCUCUGUGGAGUGAGCACAGAGACCGAUGAUGGAUACGCCUGAACUGCCGUAGGCGUUUGGCUGUGAUCAGGUGCUCGCGGGUGCCCGUGUGUGUAGGAGCACGGAGACCACCAAGGACAUCCUCAGGCUGGUUGAAGUAUUCUUUCUUGGUCACAAUCUCUCUGGUUGCAUCUGUGUUUCAGGUGUUAAGAGAGACCAGUAAAAUGAAGAAAAAGGGCUGAAAUACGGACCGAUGAUGACGGCUGGUGGCGUAGGAGUCACGGAUGAUGAAUGCUACGUGUCUGGAACUCUGAGGUCCAAUGCGAAAGGAAAUAUAAAGAAGACACCUGACCCAGUGUAAGCGUCCCCCAGCUUCAGUCACUGCCAGCAAGCCUCUCUCUGUGGGAGCAUGGAGUCCAACAAUCAACGCACUCCCGCUGAUGUAAGCAUUUUCCAUGGUCAGGAGGUCUGUGAUUUCCCGUGUGUUCUAAGCCUAGAGAUGAAUAACGGAUGAACUCCAGCAGCUGGAAGCCCUUGCAUGAUUACAAGCUGUCUGUCUGUCUGUUUGGAGCAUAGAGACCAGUCAUUCUUCCGUGGUCGCAAGAUCUGUGGCUGUGUCUGUGUGUUGGAGAAUGGAGAUCCAUGUGACUAAUGAAUGGACGCGCUUGUCCUGAUGGAAGCAUCUUCCAUGGUCAUGAACUCUGGGCCUGCAUCGAUGCACUGGGAACUAGACACCACCAGCCACCGGCGCGCUGGAGCUCCUGAACGCAUCCGCACGUGUCACGGUUCUGUGCGCGCUUCUGCGUCGUGGGAGCGUGGCGAGCAGUGCAGUUAAUUACAAUAAACAGACGCAGAUGACAGUAGAAAAAAAGAGCCAGUCCCGGACCAGCGAUGGCAGCUGAGAAAGGACCUGGCUAGCAGAUGUCAGGAUUCUUCCUUGGUCACGGGAUCUCGGGUUGCGUUCAUGUGUCAGGGACACGGAGACCAUAACGGUCACCAUCAGCUGAUGGAAGCAUCUACCCUAGCCGCUUCGUGGUCGAAUCUGUGGGUGAUAGCGUGGACCCCAGUGCGAAACAGACACUUGAGCUGUUUUCAGCUUCCGCCGUGAUCAAGACUGUGAUGUUCCCUGUGAGCACUGAAAGAGAUGGAGGCGAGGGCUGGUCAAAAUGGUCGUCUUGGAAAGGGCCACUUGCUUCAGGCAUGAGUACGCACGAGAUGAUUCGGUGACUUCCCUGGGCGCGAGGUCUGUGGUUGCUUCUGUAUAACAGGACGGAGAUUCCUAAAGACAGUGGACCUGAUUUAAGGAUUUCUCCCUUGAUCCUGACCUCUGCGUUGGCAUCUGUUUUAGGAGACUGGAGACCCGUAAUAGAAGGUCAAGGUGAUUUCUGCCUUCCUUUUGGUCUAGGGCACCAUGUUUCCUCUUAUAGGAAAGAGACUAACAAUGGACAGAUGCGAGCUAAACAAGCAUUAUUCCAAGGUGGCGAGCUCUACGAUAGCUUCGGUGUGACAGAGGCACAGGGUCCCAUUAGAGAUGCUCCAGCUGAUUUCACCUCUACUCUGAUCGUGGUCGUUAUGUUGCCUGCGCCUUAGGAGACUAAAGCAAGCUGAUGGAAGCAAUCCUGCCUGGUGGCGAGCUCGGUGGUCGCCUCCCUCUGUUCGACGUGCAGAGAACAGCAAUGGACACACCUGAGCAGAUGUAACGCCUUCCAUGAUCCUGAGUUCUGUGCUUGCCUCUGUAAUAGAAGGAUGGGGAUUAAUGACGGACAGAUUAGACCUGCGUGAGGAUUCUCCCCGAUCAAGGGCCCUCGGGUUGUAUUUUUGUACUGGGGCGACAGGAGACGGAUAAUGGACACACUCUGGCAGACGGUAGCAUUCGUCCAAGGUCACCAGCCCUCUGCUUGCAUCUACGUUGGAGGAGCAUGGAGACCAUGUGCUCGAGCUGAUUCCGUCUUCCGUUGGGAAGUAGGCUUGUCACGUGACCAAUGCAACAAGGAGAGUAAUGGUCAAAAAUUUUGUUUUUGUUUGGGUCAUUUGUGUGUGUUUGUGGUAUUAUUAGAAAGUAGUAAGUAUCAUGAAAAUGUUCACUAUGGCUGACGAAUAAAUAUGAUGUAAACCAUUGUAUUCAUUAAUUUCUUACAUAACAUUGAGUUUAAUUAAUAAAAGAAAUGGAAGCUGUGUUGGCAAUGAUUCUAUAUUAGACGUUAAGGGCAUUCAGGCAUCUUAUUCUUGGGUUUUUGUAAAUUAUACUCAUGUUAAUCUUUUCAGUGAAUUAAUUAUUUAAUCAAAACAAGUGUAGAAAGGAGUUGAGAGCAAGGGAUCCUCUAUUGGACCAGUGAUGAUGACAGGUGACGGCUGAUCCAUGGAUGAUGGGCAGUGCGCAUCUGGGUAUCUGAGGUCCAAUGUGAUAA